GCAGUCUACUUGAUCCUUCGGGUGAUGGUGGCGGACGGGUGAGUAACGCGCAAAGAACUUGCCUUACAGACUGGGACAACAUUUGGAAACGAAUGCUAAUACCGGAUAUUAUGAUUGGGUCGCAUGAUCUGAUUAUGAAAGCUAUAUGCGCUGUGAGAGAGCUUUGCGUCCCAUUAGUUAGUUGGUGAGGUAACGGCUCACCAAGACGAUGAUGGGUAGCCGGCCUGAGAGGGUGAACGGCCACAAGGGGACUGAGACACGGCCCUUACUCCUACGGGAGGCAGCAGUGGGGAAUAUUGGACAAUGGACCAAAAGUCUGAUCCAGCAAUUCUGUGUGCACGAUGAAGUUUUUCGGAAUGUAAAGUGCUUUCAGUUGGGAAGAAGUCAGUGACGGUACCAACAGAAGAAGCGACGGCUAAAUACGUGCCAGCAGCCGCGGUAAUACGUAUGUCGCAAGCGUUAUCCGGAUUUAUUGGGCGUAAAGCGCGUCUAGGCGGCUUAGUAAGUCUGAUGUGAAAAUGCGGGGCUCAACCCCGUAUUGCGUUGGAAACUGCUAAACUAGAGUACUGGAGAGGUAGGCGGAACUACAAGUGUAGAGGUGAAAUUCGUAGAUAUUUGUAGGAAUGCCGAUGGGGAAGCCAGCCUACUGGACAGAUACUGACGCUAAAGCGCGAAAGCGUGGGUAGCAAACAGGAUUAGAUACCCUGGUAGUCCACGCCGUAAACGAUGAUUACUAGGUGUUGGGGGU
rnacentral:rRNA from 1 species